UUUCCGUAGGUGAGCCUGCGGAAGGAUCAUUAUUGUAUAACCGAGGUGCGAGGGCUGUCGCUGACCCGAAAGGUCGUGCACGCCCGAGUGCCCUCACACACAUCCAUCUCACCCCUUUGUGCAUCACCGCGUGGGCACCCUUCGGGAUCAUCUCGGAGGGGGGCUCGCGUUUUCACACAAACCCCCCUUUUAAAAGUGUAGAAUGACCACAUUUAUGCAAUCAAUACAACUUUCAACAACGGAUCUCUUGGCUCUC
rnacentral:misc_RNA from 1 species